rnacentral:rRNA from 1 species
CCUACGGGUGGCUGCAGUAGGGAAUAUUGGUCAAUGGGAGAGACCCUGAAGCAGCAACGCCGCGUGAGGGAUGAAGGUUUUCGGAUUGUAAACUCCUUUUGUUAGAAAAACUAAUGACGGUAUCUGACGAAUAAGCACCGGAUAACUACGUGCCAGCAGCCGCGGUAAUACGGAGGGUGCAAGCGUUACUCGGAAUCACUGGGCGUAAAGAGAGCGUAGGCGGGAUAGUAAGUCAGAUGUGAAAUCCUAGGGCUUAACCAUAGAACUGCAUUUGAAACUGUGAGUCUAGAGUAUGGGAGAGGUAGGUGGAAUUCUCGGUGUAGGGGUAAAAUCCGUAGAGAUCAAGAGGAAUACUCAUUGCGAAGGCGACCUGCUAGCACAUAACUGACGCUGAGGCGCGAAAGCGUGGGGAGCAAACAGGAUUAGAUACCCUAGUAGUC